rnacentral:rRNA from 1 species
UACGUAGGGGGCAAGCGUUGUCCGGAAUCAUUGGGCGUAAAGAGCGUGUAGGCGGCUAGGUAGGUCCGUUGUGAAAACUCGAGGCUCAACCUCGAGCUGUCGAUGGAAACCAUCUGGCUAGAGUCCGGAAGAGGAGAAUGGAAUUCCUGGUGUAGCGGUGAAAUGCGCAGAUAUCAGGAAGAACACCGAUGGCGAAGGCAGUUCUCUGGGACGGUACUGACGCUGAGACGCGAAAGCGUGGGGAGCGAACAGG